GUGCUCGCUUCAGCAGCACAUAUACUAAAAAAACAUUGGAAUGACACAGAGAAGAUUAGCCUGGCCCCUGUGCAAGGAGGACAUGCAAAUUCAUGAAGCGUUCCAUUAAAAA
rnacentral:snRNA from 1 species